CUUACUUUCAGUGCUCGAAGUGCUCAAGUGCGCCACACUGACAAAACCAGCAGAAUUCAGUGCACUGAAAGUACCCGGAUGGUGCACUGCAAACGGGCAGAAAAUGUAGUGUAAAACGAUGGACACUACUCGCCCUAAGCGGCCGCCAUCUUGGUGACGUAGCGGAAGAGGAGGAGCCCUUUCACCAGCUUUUCAUUUUAUUUCUAAAACAAUGGCGGACAGCACAAGCGGUAGACCACGAAGCUACAGACCGUAAAUAGUCGUUUCCUGGAGGUGCUGGUCCUCUGCUGCCCUCCCGACAUCUGGCUCCAAUGACCUCUGGCACCUCACAUCCACCUCCAGGGCCUUGAAGAAGAUGGACCGCCAUCAAUAGCCCCCACCACUCUGCUGAAGGCUGCCGACCCAGCUAGACGGGUGAAGCGGGCACCUAGGCGUGGGAGUUCCUCUCCUGGAGGGUGGCGGACAACAGUGGACAGGAGCGCAGCGAUCUGCCCACUCAUCCUGUGCACCAGCCGGGCCACCGUUCACCGGCCUGUCGAAGGCCCUGGCCACCACCCGAUAGGAGGUGGUGCUGGCAAGUCAAAAAAUAAAAACUAGACAGGAGAUCUCGGGGCCCCAACCGUGGUCAGUCAGUGCCCAGCACAGCCAUGAGGGCGUUGAAUGACUCGGGUGAGCCUGAAGUCCACCCUCAUGUCACUGUGGCCAUCACAACACAACGCCAGCAGUGGCAUUGCAACAUGGAUACGGCAGCGCCGCCUGGGACUGGGUGGCUGCUGUAGAGUGUGUGGGGAGGGGAAGAUUAUAUUAAUAUGUAAGUCAUUUUAUCAAUAAAAUGUUGUCAUUGAGGUUUUGUAGUCUUUUAUUGCGUUUUCUGAUUUAUAUUAGAAUUGAUGCAUGUUUGUAACAAUAAUUAAUAUGCCUGUGUGUUCAAUUGCUAAUUGAUUCCUGUAUCAGGGUGAACUUCACUACAACAGAGAUGUGUAUAAAAGUACAGUCAGUCAAAGUAGGCCUAUUACUGUGUGAAUUCAAGCAGAUGAUGCCUAUCAUUUCAGUGGAUAAUUCUUAAAACUAAUUGGAAUCUAGGGACAAACAUGUA